UCUUCUUUUCAGGCGAGGCAAGGUGCAUCUCAAACAAGCCUAAUAAAAGAUGUCGGCUGCAGCACGAGAGCGUGAUCGAUUUCGUCGACACGAGUCAGGGGACGAAAAAAGAAAAAGAAAGAAGAGUUUCAGAAAAAACUAAGAGGAUCAUUCGAUAAAUUUGUGAAAGCUAACGUUAGCCACCAUGAAGAUGCUACGAACAACACUUUUACUGUUGCUACCCUUGAGCCGCGAGAAGACAUUUAAGUAAAAUCAUCAUAAAACUUCUGCAAAAAACAUGUCCAGAGGGCCUCGCACCCCCCUUGCGACGGCCCUGUCUCAGUGUCCCAAACAUCGAAUGGAUCUAUAUUGCAUCCAGAAUAGGUCAUCGUCUCAACAUGCUCAUUAACAGCGAUACAUUACAUUAACGGCGCAACAUACCGGCCGCCAUGCGCAAUGAGCCCCAGUUUCUGGGAUUAAAAUUAAAACCAAAUGGAAAACUGGACAUUAAAGCAACAGGAUUUGGCGUACGCUCUGAUUGGCUGGAUUUAAAUGUUCUCUGCCAACGUACAGGACUGCAGCUCUCUUGGCAGGGACCUGAUGUGGCCCUGAUGUGGCCCUCUAGUGGUAUUCAACACUGAAAGUGAACCUUGUCAACUACUGACCAACAAUGUAAGAGCUUCACUUCUUCACCUCAAAAGAACCCAAAAUGUCCAGCACUGGAUGGGCUUGAAAUGAGCAUUUCUCCAAUCAGCUGACUAUUCAGUAUCUCAUUCUGCCCUGACAAAUUCUUCAAUUUCAGAGGAUAUUCAUGAUCCAAGCUGCAAUGUCUUCCAACUAUGUAAAAUCCCUAUUGCCUGUUACAUCAAAAUCAACAGGAAAUAUGUUUGGAAUGUAUUUGGAGACCUGUUAUCUUUCCAAACUACUGAAAUAUCAGCCAUUGGUGGAAGCUAUUCAUCAACUUGACUAUCAUUGUAAGUUAAUCACCUUACGCUGGAUUCACACAGAGCGUCAACGCUUCUCAUUUACUUUGAAUGGGUAACGUCAUGCAGUGCCGAACUGAAUUGUGGGUCUGUCAGCAUCGCUUCACUGGCGUUGCUUGCGGCAAGAAGUUGAACAUUUCUCAACUUUUCAAGCGCCAACGCAGGCGUCAGCCAAUCAGAUCACCUUAUGCAAAUAACCUAGUGCAGGCACUAGCCAAUUGCGUUCAUGCAAGACCGGAGAACAAUAUAACUGGCUGUUGUCACUAUGACGAUCGCGUCGGCCAUGCUUCAGACAUGCCCUCCUUCAAGCAUUAAAGCUGACGCCCCGUGUGAUCGGAGCGUUAGUGUUUGGAAGUUUAGGUCAUGUGCAUAAGAAUGUGAUCAAAGGACUGCAGUUGAGUGGAUUGCAAAAAGGAAAGCAAAAAACGGAACUUUUGUUCAGUCUCAGCCACUAUAGGGAGUAUGCAAAUAUGGAAACGAAGAUGUUUUGUCUAUCCUUGAUUGUAAAAUGUUACGAAACUAAGCAAUUGUGAAAGUGUUGUGUUAGCCAUGAGUACCUGUCAUCUUGCAAACUGACUUCCCAAGGUAUAUGGAUUUUGUUUUUGUAGCUUGUCUUGUAGAUCCAAAUAAAAGAAAAUAGUGUG